rnacentral:tRNA from 2 species
GCUCCUGUGGUGUAGUCCGGCCAAGCAUACUGGCUUCUCAAGCCAGUGAUCCCGGGUUCAAAUCCCGGCGGGAGCA